CUGCUAGAACCUGGAGGGGUACAAAAACAGAAAAUGUGAGUGAGUGAAACGAAACUCUUCAAACCAAUUCCAACUACCAAAGAUAGUAGCCCCUCGCCGCAAUACCUGUUUAAUUUCCCGGAAAAUAACAGGCAUGAUUAUAAAUCAAAACCAUAACCAAAAUGAUAGUCUUACGGUUAUGCUUUGUCAAAUAUCUUAACGGAAUGAGUAACCCAAGUGAAAUAAACUAAUAGGAAAUGGCAUGUUAGCCGGAACCACCCAUCAUGUACGGUUGAAUCAAUAUCUCAUCCCAUAUAUGCUAGCAGCUCAUCACCAAUCUCAUCAUAAGUAUAUACUAGCAUCUCAUCAUAUAUCAUCACAUAUAUGCUAGCAUCUCAUCACAUAUCUCAUCAUAAAUAUAUGCUAGCAUUUAAUCACAUAUCUCGUCAUAAAUAUAUGCUAGCAUUUCAUCACAUAUCUCAUCAUAAAUAUAUGCUAGCAUCUCAUCAUAUAUCAUCACAUAUAUGCUAGCAUCUCAUCACAUAUCUCAUCUCAUCACAUAUCUCAUCAUAAAUAUAUGCUAGCAUUUCAUCACAUAUCAUCACAUAUAUGCUAGUAUCUCAUCACAUAUCUCGUCAUAAAUAUAUACUAGUAUUUCAUCACAUAUCUCUUCAUAAAUAUAUGCUAGCAUCUCAUCAUAUACUAGCCGGAGUCACUUCACGUGACUUGUACGGCAUAUUCAUAUCUCAUCAAUUAAUCUAGCCGGAGUCACCUAUAGUGACCUAUACGGCAUAUUCGUAUCUCAUCAAUCAAUCUAGCCGGAGUCACCUAUAGUGACCUAUACGACAUUAUGCCUGCACACGAGUCGGAACCACUGUAGUGGUCUGUAUGACAGGACUGGGUGUAAAUGAAUAUGCUCAAGUGCUACGAUCAUGUGAAAAGUCACCUACGAGUCGGAAUCACUUAUAGUGGUCUGUACGACAGGCUUGUGCACCUACCUUGAAUUCAAGGUGAGCGUAUGGUGCGGGAGGUGAACAUUACGUGAAAGGGCUGUGCCCUGGCCACGGGCAGAUGCACUAACACCGGGGUGCAGGUUUAUGAGCUUUAAAUGCAUCUAAUACAACAUGUACGAUUCAUAAGCAACCUGUACGACAAUGCCGGAAUUGCUUAAAACAUAAAUGUAGUCAUACCAUAACCCCAUCAAUUCAACUAAUACCGUAUACUUACCUGAACUUACCUGAACUUACUUGUGUGUUCGGCAUUCACCUUUGCACUUCGGAGCGUUCACAAUAAUUAUGCGCAAGGAAUAUACAGAUGGAAAUACCAGAAUGUAAGUUUGGAAUUCAACAUAUCAUAAUAUUUCUAGAUAUAUAUAAACAUAUAAACAAAUGGUCUAGAAUGCAUAAACUGUAAUGCCCCAUUCCUAAACUAGGCUAUUGUCUUGAUUAUUCAUUCUCAUUUAUUAUAUGGCUCUCAUUAGACUGCCUACGUACCCUAAACCAGGAUCAAGCCAUUCGUAGUUCGCAAUAGCACUUCAAAGCAUUCACAAUAAUUAUACGCCAUAAGAAAUUUUUUAAACGUUGUGGAAUUGUCAAUCACACACACACACACAUAUAUAUAUAUAUAUAAUGUACGGUAAAAAGGAAAAUACCCACUUAACUGAGGUUCGCGUUACGACUCCCUAGCACGCAUAUCGAGACAUCACGAACCAUCGUUGCCUAUGACCAAUUAUCAAUUCACAUUUCAGAGUUCUUAUCGAUAGAAUACAUAAUUUACAUAAAACACAUUCCUAUGUAAUUUAAUUUGGAAGAUCCGCAUCACUGAUUUCCGAUCUGUUGCUUCCAAAGAUCCACAUUAUACUUCUAGAACAACAUUCUAAAGUUUCAAUAUGAUCCAACGGUCGGAUCUCUGCCAAUUGCCAAAACCAAGUGGUGGUCAAUAUUUUAUUUUAUAAAUUUACAAAUCCAAUUCGGGAAGAUCCGUACGUCGGAUUCCCAAUCCGUAAGUUUCUAUGAUUCUCGAAUAUUACGUACUAUAAUGUAGUAAAGUUUGGUGACGAUCCAACGGUCGGAUCUCGAUUACUAUCCUAAUAAAGUGGUAGACCUUAGUGGAACUUUGCCGGAUUUUGCAGAUUUUGCAGAUUUCCUGGGCGAUCUUUGGAACUCCAUAUCUCACUUGUUUCUCAACCAAAUUCAACCCAUAAUAUACCAAAUCGAAGCUAGAGAAAUGUAGAAAAAAAUUAUACUAGCUUGGAGUCCAAAUGGUGGCCAGAUGUAGCCAGACAAAUGGUCUGAAAGACGACUGUCUGCGGGAAAACUGGUAACUCGCCAGAAUUUCUAGGCAACCUUACACGAUAGCUAUCUGGCCGUGAUUUGGCCGGAAAAUUCCUCGAAAGUGGUGGAGGUCACCGGAAACUGCUACUAAGGCCAAUUGGGCCGAAACACCUCAAAUCACCACGAAUUGUACGAAACCCUCGAUUUGGGUAGUUGUCAAUUCAUCACCAAAACGAACUCUGACGCCUUAUCCAAUGUUUGGUCCUUGUUCUAGGGUUCUAGGGGAGUCUAAUGGUAGUGGUGGUUGAUGGGAUUUACUUCAGAAAUGGCGGAUUGCCGCCACACCACCUUCGGCGCACCCCCUUGAAAAACCUUUAAAUUACUCUCAGAUUCCUUCCAAAUCUGGGUGAAAAUGGGAAAAAGGAAGGAUUAGAUGAUGAUUGGGAGUGGUGGCUUGGUCCACUUCUUGAGAAAUCCGGUGGAAAACCACCGGAAAGUAUGGUGAAAACGGGUCGAAGGGUGCGGGUCAAGGAUCUGGCCGAUCCCCUCUUCUUUUCCCUCUCUCCUUUCCCUCCUUUCUCCUCCUCCUAAUUGGUCCCCUCACCCUCCUUUAAAAAUCUGAUUGGCUUCCUCCCCACAAAAUGGGAGCUCCAAUUAUUUAACUAACUUUAAAUAAAAAAUUUCAAACGCCUGUAACUAUAUCGUUAUAAUUCGGACUCGUAAGCGACUUUCGCCUAUGCGUUCGUAUCAACGAGUACUACACAAAUAAGCUGAAAGAAUAACUCAUACGUUCCUCUAGACGAUGGUCAACAAAAGUCAAAAUCCUUGCCUCUAGGGCAUUUCCGUCAAUUCCCUUAAUUAAAAUAAAUAAAAAUGAAAAUUUUAGGAACGGGUUGUCACAUACUAUUUGAAUUUUAAAAUGUUAUAUUUCUUAAAAAAAUGGAAAUAAGGAUUUCACAAUAAAAAAAAAACUCUGAAAUCAUGUCUUUUAAUACUCAACGAAAUUCAUAAUUGUUGUAGGUAAUAAUAAAAUUCAUUAACAUAAUUAGGGUAUUGUGGCAUAAGUUGUAAAUAAUUUAUAAUAAUAGGUUACUUAUUUCCCACAUUCAACAAGUUUAAAUUUUAGGUUUUAUUAGAAUGUUGAAAGAUAGAUGGGUUUAAGUUUAGGAAAUAACAGUUACAAGGCCAUGUCCAACCGAAGGGGGGCCAGAGGGCUCAUUUUAGCAUUUUAAUGAACAGUGUCAGACCAUAUUUCUUACCAUCUCCAACCAAGAGGCCAAAAGGCCAUAGGCCAAAUAUAGCCUUGUGACAAAAAAUCAUCUCUAACCGAGGGGGCCAUAAGCCAAACAUAAUUUAUUAAUUGAAUUGAAUUAACAUGGUUACUUAAAUUAAACUACCUCGAUAAUUUUUCGAGAUGAAAUCUCAAUAAUUUUACGUCUUGAAUUUCAAGUGCCACAUGUCGAUAUGUGAGUAACUUUGCAGAUUUCGUGUCGAUAAGGAAUCUCAAUAAUUUUACGUCUCGGAUUUCGAGUGCCACAUGUCGAUAUGUGAGUAACUCUCCAAAUUUCUUGUCAAUAUGUAAUCUCAAUAUUUUUUCGAAUAGGAUUUUGAGUGUCAUGUGUCAAGAUGUAAUUGGUUGUGGGAAUUUUAGAUAGGAUUUUUAUCUGCAUGAUACUUCUUAUCUUCAGCUUCCAAUGUCCAUAAAUAAGGUGGAUAUUGGCCUAUAAUUCACACACCUUCAGCUUUGCUGUCUCCAAUAUCUCUUUCAAUUCAAGUUUGCAAUGAAUUCCAACUUUGGAUCCUCUUCGGAUUCCAACUGGGGGUCAUCAUCCAAUUCUGAAUUGGAAGAUAAAUAGGCGCAUAUGAGAUGAGAAGAUGAGGAGUCUGAUGAAGAAGAUGAAACAUGGCGCAAUACAUCAUAUAUGGCAGCCAUGGCGUUUUAAGUUUUAUGUUGUUAAAUGUUUUUUUUUUUUAAUGUUGUUUAAGUUUCAUGUUGUUAAAUGUUUUUUUUUUAAUGUUGUUUAAGUUUCAUGUUGUUUAAUAUUGUUUAAUGUUUUUUAAGUUUGAUGUUAUUUAAUGAUCUUCCGUAUUGUUUAAUGGCUUAGGUAGUUAUAGGGAAAAAAAAUUAGAAUUUUUUUUUAAAAUUUUGUCCCAAAACAAAAAAAAAAGCAAAUCCAACGUCUACCUGGCAUCACGCUGACGUCAGCUAGCUGUUGCAAUUCAAACCUUGGGCCAGCUAGGGGCUGGCUAGAUGGAUUGGGCCAGCCGGUUGGCUUGAUUUGGUAGUUUUGGCUUGGUGGGGCCCACGAGCACUUUGGCCUAGCCAUCGGUUGGAGACGGUUUUCGUGUCAUUUCGGGCUAUUUUUAGCCUUAUGACCCUCUGGCCGGAUCGGUUGGAGAUGGCCUAAAGUGUUGCAUCUUACGAGGUGGGCCUUCGAGUUAUCAGUUCUUGUGUUUUUAGGAAAACUAAUGAAAAGAGCUUGAAAACUUUGAGUUAUAACAAUAAGUUCCCUUAGUUUUUCGUAACAAGGUAAGCUUGUUUGUGUUAAGGGUAAAACUAAGGAGAUUAAAUUUAUAAACAAAAUUUACAAACUAAAUAAUGUGUCACCAAUAUAAAUGAGCACAUUUAAUAAUGCUUAAGUAAUAAACCAAUCAUCAACUUUCAUAUCCUUUAGUUUCCUAAAUUUUUUUCUACAAAUUUAGUUUUUCUAGUAUUAUCCUCGUGUUAAACUAUUAAUCGGGGCAAAGCAGAAACAACCCGGCCAAUUAAAAAGAAAAAAUAAAAUAAAUUUUAAGUUUACAUCUCUUUCAUCAAAAUAAAACUCACAUUCAUAUCAUUGAAAAAAAAAUAGAGAUGUGAAUAGGAUGUGAACGGAUUUGGUAGUUGGAGCAUUGCUCUUAAUAUCUUACAUGGACAAAUUAUAUAAAGACUAUGUUUAAGAGAUGACAUGACACAAUUGUUCCCAAAUUUUAGUCAAACAAGCAAACCACACAAACAAUUUACUACGAGAUAUUCAAACCAAACGAUGCAGCAUGUUGGUCCAAUGAAAAAGCCACGAUGGUCCAAUUUCCAAUUAUAUAUACAUCAAAUCGAUUAUUUGGACAUGACCAAUGAAUAAAAAUGUCAUGCACGUGGUCAAACAAACAACCAUUUCAAGUCAAAGUAUCAAUUACCAUAUUAUGUGAGUGAUUUCCAAUCGUGCUUCCGUUUGGUGCCGCCCAUUCUAGCUGCGGCUAGGAUCGAUUGGUGGUUUUUUGUAUUUGCUUUUUCUUUCUUCUCCCCUUCCAUUUGCUGAUGGUUUUUUCCUUUUCCUCUGGUUUUUUUGCUUUUGUUUUUUCUUUCUUCUCCCCUUCCAUCUGCUGAUGGUUCUUCUCCUUUUCCUCUUUGGCUUUUCCCAUCCCUCAACCCCCAUGGGUAUCACUUUUCAUGGCCCUUCCGUGCUUUGUUUUUCAGCCAUGGUUUCUGUAGAGUUCGUGUGUAGAGUUCCGGUGUUGUAUCCGGCUCUGGUGUUUCCCACACCACCACGUUCUCCUUGUUGUCUACCGUUUGCAGCGGUGUUGCUCGGGAUUUUCCCUGAGCUUCUUUCCAAUGGUUGGCUUCUCGCUUGCCGACUAUCUCUUGUUGAUGGCUGUGUGCAAGUGGCACCUGUGGAGGUGAUGAUCGGCGGUGGACAAAGGAUUGGAUGGCUUGCUGCUUCUCGGAUUGGCGGUGGAGAGCACAUUGGAUGUUUCUCAGAUGUUUGUUUUUGUUUGGGCUUCACUGUCGUUGGGCUCAUUUUAUAUGUUUUCUUUGUUUUUAAGCCCGUUCUUUGUUUGUUUCUAAGAAUAAACUGAGCCUUUGUUUUGUUUGUAAGUGUGUUUGUUUUAAUAAAAGCUUCUCGUUGGUGAUUCAAAAAAAGAAAAGAAAAAAAGUAUCAAUUACCACACAACCUCAAAAAAGUCUUUUAACUUCCCAGAAAUUGCGUUGUAGAUAAGUGGGUGACAAUCCGGAUUGCGGGAUUGAUGAAGGAUGGAGCCGAUUGGAAAGGAGAGGGAGUGGAUUGGUGAAAAUCAUGGAGGUGGAAGGAAGGGAAAAACGGAAGUAGGGGCAAGAACAGUUAAAUCAGAUGCAAAAGGGGUUUGAGGGAAGGGGCCAAAGGGCAGGGGAUAACAGAGGCUGAGGGACAAAGAAAGAAAAAGAAAAAAAAAAGAAAGGAGGAGAAAAUGACUGCCACCGACCCUAGUCGUAGCUAGGGCCGACGGCUAUGAGAGAAGAAAGCGAAGGAAAGUCACUCAUACACCAGUAAGAAAAGCCCUCACAGAAAGAGAAUCUCUCUCACCAAACGGGAGAGAAUACAUUUGGAUAUAUGAUUAAAUGAUCAUAACAUAUAACACUUCCCAUUCGAUGAAAUUGAACUAUGAAUUUGAACGUAAUUUUAACUCAUACUUCACUCUGAGCACCACUUGAACAUACAUUAAGAGCUUUCAGUACCAACAUACAUUUUCAAAUUGAUUUGAAAUUCUUUUGGUAUUUCAUUAGAAAACGUAAAAUGACCCUCUGUAGAUUUCGAACUCCCACCAAAUGAUUUCGAACUAAACUUAAAAUUUGGCAUACAUAUUAUUGUAAGGAGGGGAUCAUUGUGGUGAAUUUUCCUGAAAUAGGACCUAAGAUGUUGAGCGUGUGAAUCCCCAUCCCACAUCGGGAAAUUGAGGAACCUUACGCCGAGUUGGUCUAUUCUCCUAUUGCUAAUUAAUUUUGAGGUGAAACCUCAACUUUCUACUACAUAUCGUACGUUAUCAUCCACAUAUGAAAUAAGACAACAGAACAUAUAGCAACUUAAAACCCAGCAAGAACAACCCACCUCCCAUAAACUCUAUAAUUCUAAAUAUGAUUAAGAUCAACAUGACAAUAUCAAGAAGAUUGGUUGCAUACUUAUAUUUCACAUCGUAUAUUAUCUGAUACCAUAUUACAAAGAAACAUAUACUAAUUAUUUUCUGUGAUCGAUCGAUCCUAAGAGAACUGUAUAUAGUUCCUAAUUAAGCAAUCGAAUGAAAUCCAACCAAAUUCAGUUUGUUUCUUUUAUCUAAGACUAGUCUGUGAGUGCUUGAGAGCCUCCUUGCUUGAUCUACUCCCCGUUGUCCGUAGAAGCUUCGACCAAAACCCUCUUUUCUUCUUCUUCCCACUACUAUUCUUGUGAUGAUCUCCGAAACGAUGAUGACUUGUCUUCGAAACGACGGCAACCGAUCUGCUCUUCUUCAUCGGCCCAUGACCACCACCACCAGUUGUAGGAACACAAGUCGUACUACUACUCCUUAUCAUAAAAGAAACCGAACCCAAAACAUUCAUAUGGGAACUAUUACGUCGACGAUGAUCUGGGCCGCUGCCCGCCACCGGCGGUGGAGAGUUACAAGUGGAGGAGGAAGCAGAAGAGAAGUCGGGUUGAUCGUGUGAAGAAGGACCAUUAACUUGGAGUCUGUCUGUGAGAUAUGUUGAGGAGGGAGCGUAGAGCUGAGAAAGCUUCUCACUGAGACAAGCGGAACAAACGCCUGGUGAUAUUAGGGUUUGCUUAUUAUCGGCGGCGUAGUACUGGAACUGUUGGUGCUUCUUGCAUCCUCUCUGUGAUUCCGACCAACCCAUAGUUUUGAAAUUUGGUCUGAAAUUCUAUGCGCUUAAUUGGUAUGCACGAGAGAAUUCCUCGUUUUAUAGAGAGAAGAGGAUUGGGUUGCUUUCUAGGUACGAUUCAUUUGUUUAUAUCAAAAAAAGACGCACGGACGUAGUAAUUUGCCACGGACAUUCGUUGUGUUACUCCAAGGUGCUUAGGCCUUGUUUGCUAGUUUGGGAGAGAUUUUUUUAGCGUGAUCGGUACACGGAGUGAUACAUCACGUAUUACUAUAUAAAUGAUGUGAUAUGUUUGCUAAAAAGUUAAUAACUUACAAAAUAAAAUUUCUCACUACUUAUAUUAAAAUACGUGAUGUACCACCUGUAUUCCCGUCACAAUGAAAAAUUUCUCCUAAUUUGGGUGAGACAUAAUGUGAAAUAAAAUGUUUACUUUGAAGUCUUUGGAAGACAAGUCUCUUUUUUCAAAAAAUUUUAAAGUUCUAUUUUCUUUUACAUGUGAGAAGACUUGAUUAAUAAUUUUUUUUCCUUUUUAAAAAAAACCCUAACCGUUAUUUAGAGAGAAAAAGAAAAGAAAAAAAUUCAUUAGCCUCGACAUUAAAUGUGACCUUGGGAUCCGCAACAAUCCUCCUUGAUCUUUUCUUUCUCUUAUGUGUUUCUUCGAUCUUCAAAUCAUCUUUACUCUCUAUUUGUGAGCACUCUUUCGCUUUGGCGAGAAGAGUUUUUGUGGUUGUGGCUACUUUCUCGUUCAGUCGAUGAGAGUCUUUAUAGUGUCCAUGGUUAUGGAUCAAACUUCAUAUUUUUGAGACAUAGCUAUUGUUCAGAGUUAGGUUGGUUUGUGCGCAGGGCAAAUAAUUUUGAAAAGGAAAGUCGGUGUUUAUUGGAGGUGACACAUAACAAUGCUUCUUUGCCGACGAUUGCAAAAUCAUCAAAGGGUGGUGUGGUCAUUUCCUCAUGAUGCGGUUAUAGUGGUCCUACAACUUGCAAAGUUUAGUCCUAAUGAAUUUAUCUUUUUUGUUGAUCAAAUAUAAGUUAUCUGUGAUCGUUGAGAAAUUACAUUCAUAAUGAAUUUGUUAUUGUGAAAUUGUGUGGCUUUACUGUGGCAUGUGCGACUUCUUACUCAUGUGUGACAUGAAUAUCCUAUAUAACAUUCUUGAUGGGUUUCUUAAUAAAUUUUUAUUAUCUCAAAAUUCUUUUUGAGUUAUAGGACAGCAAACAAAUAUAACACGUUGACAUAAGAAAGAUUAUUUGACUAGUAAAGGUGUGCACGUAAAGAAAAAUGUGUGUUGAAUGAAAGGUGGGAACAGGUGUGUGGUCCCUGAAGGUGGGCUGUCAAACCGAUGGACGGCUGUGAUGCCAAUAAAUACAAAAAAUGUAGGACCCAUAUUUAAGUUGGAACUUGGAAGGUGUUCACAAGUCCUGAUAGUUACUUGGAAGGGCAGGCAAUGAUGAGAGAGAGUGAGUCAAGAGUCAAAACUAGGUGCCGUCCGUGCGUGCGUGCGUGGGUGCUGCGUGUGCGUGGCCAAACGACAGAAACCACAAACGACGUGAGUGAUGAGUUAUGGGACGGCCGUGCACGUGAAAAGAAUACACGUUUCUCUCGAGCCAAGUAGGCUGUAACCUAAAUUACUUUUAAAUAUAAAAUUUGAUCAUUUAGGAUAGACUUGAUAUUGGUGUUGUAUUUUUGUGUUCGUGUUAUUUUCAUGAAUACUCAGAGAUCGUGUGUGUAAUAUCCGUUAAAAUAAAAGAAUAAUAGAUCCGAACUCGACUUGUUAAUAUUAACGGAUAAUAUGAUUCGAUCGGUUACCGUUAAAGAAAAUAUAUUUUAAAUUAAUAAAUAAUCAAAUGAAAAAUGUAAUACAAAAAACGUAAGUGAAAUCUAAGAACCCAGCUGUAAGGAUUUAAUUUCACAUAAGUGAGAUUAAAUCCUACAACUAUUGUUGUAGUAAAGUUUUUAAAUUAAUGUAGAAGUUUGAAUAUAUAUAUCAACUCUGAAUUCACGAUCAUAAUCCCAUAAAUUAUAGAUUUAAAUUUAACCGUUGAUUGUCGUUUAUUUUUACGCUUCAUUUUUUCUCAACGAAUUUCCUUUUUUGAUUUUUUUUCUUUAGAUUUUCGCUUUCUAAUAUGUAACUUUUUAGUAGAUGUUGAUAUCAUGUUUAGGUUUUUACGGUUAGUAAAAAUUUUGCUCAAAGUUUAUAAAGUCCCUAGAAAUUAUAUAACAUCGACUCAUAUUUUAGUUAACUCAAACAUCGGAACGUGAUAUCAACGAUCCAAAUCGUUCAUUUUUCUUCAUCUGCUAAAGAUCAUGUUUUCAAAAGAAAAAAAAAAAAUCUAAAUCCAGGUUUAAGGAUUAUGGUGUCAAAUUUCCUAGUUGAUGUGACAGCCCAUCCCGAGACAUUUUUUUUCUUGAUGGCGUGAAAUGUCGAUUCUACCCUUUUUAUUCUUGAGUUGUGUGUGUGUGUGUGUGUAUAACCUAAGGUUUUGGACCAAUAGGUUCUAUCCCUUAUUAUUUGGACUCAAUUAGAACUAAGGUUCAAAUUUUUUUGGUUUUGGUUGUUGUUAGUGACCCAAAACUGGACCACACACACCCACACACACACACACUCUCUCUCCCAUUGACCCUUUCUCUCUUCCCUCUCGGUUUUUCCUCCAUUUCCGUGCAGUACGUACGGACAAACCUCAAACCUGACAAUCCCAUGACACUAGGGUAACAGUCCUUUACAAUCCCUCAUGUUUAUUAAACCAUGAAAUGUAUAUUUCAAAACACAAUCCAAACAGUUCAAAUAUCCAACUCACAUAAUGUUUCAUAAGUAGAUCGAUGACAACUUUAUAAAAAGAAUUAUUUAGCAUAAGACCUAUUUUAAGAAUUCAUGGUGUAACCACAAAGUAUAUUAUAUUAGUAUGGAAGAUUUCAAAGUAAUAACCAUAUCACAUAGAUUAAAAUCACUCACCUGAGGUCCACACUAACGCACUCUAGCAUGGAAUUCAAGGCAUCAAGCUCUAUCACCGCCUAAAACAAAGCACAAUUCCACAUUUAGGUUUCUCUCGAUAAAUUCACAUACCCAAAACUCUCAUAAGUCUCCCACAACAACAUUUAAUGAGAACCAAACCGUCGAUCAAAGGUAUUGUCCAUGAUCUUACAUCACUUGCUCCGUAAGAUCCAACCACUAGAUUUUCACUAGUAAGUCCCUAAGGUCCUUAACAAUAUCUACAAUAGCAUACUAAAAUUUGGUGUCAAUUCAAUGGUAAGAUUGUCAAUUGUUAGAAUAUUCAAGUGGCGGACCUUAUCGAAAAUAUACUCAACCAACAACAUUUCAUAAAUCAAAUGUCACACAUCUAAAAUUCGACUUUUUCCAAAAAUUCUCAAAUUUUACAAGAAUGAAGAUCUCAACAAGUAGAGUAAACUUUAUACCUGAGGCCGAGUCCAAUUUGGCCGGGAAGACCCUCAAAUUGGCUCGCACCCGUCGAAACCCUAAGGUGGGUGUUCUUCAAUUCGGCUUCCUUGGUGUUCCUAUGCCCUAACCACCAGUUGGGUCUUGUUCCUAUGCCCCAACCCCUAUUUCGUGAGCUGCGUGGUCACGAAAUAGGGGGGAAAAUGUCACUUCCCUCAUCCCUAAUAUGUCCUUUCUAACCCUCUAAAAUCUGAUUGGUUUUUUUUUAUUUUUUAUUUUUUUAUUAUUAUUAUAAAAAAACUAACUUAACCUUUAACCCACAAUCUAUAGUUCACAACUUCAAACAUCCGUAACUAUACUGUUAUAAUUCGGACUCGCAAAUGGCAUUCGCCUAUGCGUUCGUGGGUACGAGAUCUAUUUAAAAACACUAGUUGUAACUUCGAAAUGUCAACGAAAGAUAAAGAUUGAUUAUGAAACUUCCAACUCGAUAACUAAAUUACUAAACUUAAAAUUAACAUAAUUAAAAUUAACUAAUAAAGAUAACGUAAUCGUGAAAUACGAAUUUAAAAUACGAGAUACGUAAUAAAUGGUGAAAUUUCGAGGAUGGGAUUUCCCAGCGUGGGUGGUCAGAAAUUUUUUCUAAACAUAGGGGGAUGUUCCUGAGGUUGAGUAGGUCUCAGUGGUAUAUUCAAAUACCCCAUUUGAGCAUUAUAUGAGAAUUUAUUCCCUAGCUUUGUGUAUGUGCUUUAAAUAACGUUUAUUCAGUUAUUUCGCAUAUAGGUAAGAUCUAUCCUGAGGACGAGCGCCAUCAAUUGAGACUAGCGAACUAUGACCCUUUGACAUAUCAGUGAGUGGGCUUUUGGUUUUCCGUAUAUACCUAUAUACUUGAGUUUUUCCCAGAAAAUGAAAUUGAAUGAUUAUAUGUUUUGAAAUGCCAUGCAAAGUAUCUGCCUAUUUUAUUUAUGCAUUAGUAGUUACAUAUAUUUAUGGUUGGUGCUGUGGACGCACAGGUAAGUGCCAGGUAAGUUCAUAAAUUAACGGUUGAGGUUGCUUCAGUUAUGUGAGAUAUGAUGUGAUGUAUUGAGAGCUUAUAAACCUGCACCCCGGUGUUAGUGCUCCCGCCUAGAGUUAGGGCAUAGUCAUUCACAUGAUGUUCACCUCUCGCACCAUAUGCUCACCUUGGAUCCAAGUUAGGUGCACAUGCUUGUCGUAAAGACCACUUUAGGUAGUUCCGACUCGUAGGUGACACGUGAUUAUUCGCAUAGCAUUCACGUGAUCGUAGCACUAGAGCAUAUUUACUUUACACCUAGUCUUGUCGUACAUACCACUUUAGGUGGUUCUGACUCGUGUACAUAAUUUGAUUUGAUAUGAUUGAGAUUGGUUAUGAGCUAUAUACUCAGCCGUGUAGUUUGAGUUAGAGAGAUUUGGCUGAUGCGAUAUUUGACAUUGAUAUAUUUUGCCUGGAUUACUUAUAGCAUUGCAUUGAGAUACCUUGGCACGGUAUACUUCUAUGGAUUUUCAUCUUGAGUAUCAUUUCUGAUACAACUUAUUAUUACUAUUAUUUUAUGGGAAAUUAUACAUGUUUUACGGCGAAGGGUUAGAACUUUUGAGAAAUGAAAUGAUUUUGAAAAGCUUUGUUUUUGCCUACUCACACUUUCUGUUUUGCGCCCCUCUAGGUUUUAGGUAGGAGUGCUUUGGUGGAUCACGAGGAUUUCAACGGUGGUUCUGACAGAGCAUAAUAAAUGUAAGAUCACCCAUGGGUGUUGUAUAAUUAGUACUUAUCCUGCUUGACUGCACUUAGACUAUUUAUGCUUUGGUUGUAUCUUUCACACUUAAUCUCGUUCUAGCACUUUAUCUUAGCUAGUACUCUAGUUGAUUUGGUUUUUAUUAUCCGUAAUUCCUUAUAUCUCUAUUGCUUCCGCACUGUGCACUAGGCUACGUCACCCUCACGUGACGGCCAACACGCGCUGAUUUAGGUCAGGGUGUGUCAGUUGACCCCUUCACGAACGUUGUAAAGCUUAUCAUUACGACUGGUUGUAUAUAUAUGUUUUUUAUUUUUCACAAUUCUACAUUAUUUAUUAUUGAUUUUUCACUCAAACACUAAAACUAUUCAUGAGGGUUUGAAGGGUUUUAAAAAUUUAAAUGAUUAUGUAACCAUGUCUAAGCAUAGAGGAUGCAAUCAGUUUGCAUAUUCUUUUCACAUUUCUCACUCUUUUACGCUAUUAUCAUGAAUUUUUAUUUAUUUUGAACUCCCCCUAACAAUCUUGUUCACCAGGGGUUGUAGGGUUUCAAAAAUCAAAUUUACUAUGUACCCAUUAUCAAAGCAUAGAUUAUGUGGCCACGACUGAUUGCAUUUUUUUUUUUACAUUUUUCACACUUGUAAAUUAAUUAUUAUAAUUUUAAUGUGCUUUGAUAUUUUUAAAUUGCGUUGGUAUUUUUUUUGUGCUUUGAAAAUUUUAAUCUCACUUGUGUGAGUAUAAAUAAUGUGCUAUUGUAGUAAAGUUUUUUUAGUAGUUUAAAAUUAUUAAACUAACUUUUUUUCUUAGUGGGUUCAAAUGGAAAAGGAUCAUUGCCGGAUUCUUUUCCUGGGGAUCCAAGGAAUCCUGUGAUUGUGGCCGUUCAUCGUACAUCGUGCGGUCAGAAAUCAUUUGAAAUUUAAAAUUUAAAAUUAAAUAUAAAUAGUACCUAACAAAAACUGACCGCACGAUGUACGAUGAACAGCCAUAAUCACGGUAUCCCUUAGAUCCCUAGAAAAAGGAUCCGGCAAGGAUCCUUUUUCGGUUCAAACGGGUUACUUGUGGGUUCAAGUGUGUGACCCAAUAACGACCUGAUUAGUUAACGUGUAGACUCGAAACCCGUUAUUUUUGUGUCUUUUUGGGUGAAGUUAACAGGUAAUGUAAGAAAUUUUCAGGUCUAAUCUUAGGAGACCAUCUAUUUAAAUUUUUUUUGUAAAUCAUAUGACGUGGUUGUUAAUGAUUAGGUUAUUAAGUGUUGAUUAAUGUUCUUUUUUUUUUCUAUUGGUGACCCGUCACAUAAUUUACAAAUUUGGUCUAAUAAGUUGGUCUUUGUACCUAGCAUAAUUCAUUCGCGUGCCCAUUAAAAGGAGAAUGUAAGGAUGUAUUCGGUUUCAUUCAGUUCAGUUGAGAAUCAAUCCAAAAUACUAUUUAGUUCGGUUUUCUUCAAUUUUUUUUCGGUUCAAUUUUUUUUUAUAUCCAAAUUGAAAUUAUUAAACAAAAAUUUGAAAAAAAAAGUUAGCUAUAAAUUAACCUUAUUUACCCAAAUCGAAAUCCAAAUAUCGAAAAUGGCUAAUCAUUCACAAAUUUAGUAGAAACUCAAUCUGGAAACCACCCGGCCACGAUCUAAUUAGUUAACAUGUAGACUCGAAACUUGAUAUUUUCAUGUCCUUUUGGGUCAGGUUAACCGAUAAUGUAAGAAAUUUCUAGGUCUAAUAUUAGGAGACCAAUUACUUAAAAUAAAUUUUGAAACCAUAUGACGUGGUUGUUAAUGAUUAGGUUAUUAAGUGUUGAUUAAUCUGCUUAUUUUCUAUUGGUGACCCAUCACAUAAUUUACAAAUUUAGUCUAUGUACCUAGCAUUAUCCAUUCGUGUGCCCAUUAGAAGGAGAAUGUAAGGAUGAAUGUAAGGAUGGAUUCAAUUUCAUUCAGUUCAGUUGAGAAUCAAACCGAAAUACUAUUUGGUUCGGUUUUCUUCAUUUUUUUUUUCGAUUCAAUUUUUUUUAUCGAAAUCAAAAUUAUUAAACAAAAAUUUGAAAAAAGUAGCAAAGAACAAACCUUAUUUUACCCAAGGCGAAAUCCACAUAUCGAAAACGGCUAGUCAUGCACAAGCAGAAACUCAAUCUGGAAACCACCCAGCCACGGUGAAAGCUAAGUCCAUUACCCCGUGGGCAUUAGGAUGUGAGGAAACUAAACGAAUGUCCAAUUGUUGCUGUUUGGAUUCUGGCGUUUGUAAGUGCAGAAGAUGAAGGUUGAAAGUUGUCAUUCUGCUGAAGAUUGUUGAUCAGAGGUUGAUGAAGGUAGAAGAGAUCGAGAAAUUAAUGGGCUUGGUUUCUUCAAAAGUUUCCGUGUUGAGUACUAAAGGAAUAAGAAGAGCAUUGAAGUUCAUAUCUGUGAGGGUGUUGAGUCUGCGAAAAAAGAGAAAGCCAGAGAACUUGUAAAACGAUAGGGGUGUUGUAAAACGAUGUUGUUUUAAGACAAAUCGGUUCGGUUCGGUUUACUUUGAUUUCCAAACUACUGAAACCGAAAAAAACCCAACAUAUUUCAAUUCAAAUAGGUUUUUCUAAAUUCUAUUUGAUUUUUCAUUGGAUUGGGUUUCGAACACACUCUUAGAAGAAUGACUUGUAUAACAUGAGUACAUUGUUACGGUGAAUGUCACACAAGUUUUUUUAAUUGGUAGAGGCGUUGCUGCACGUUUAUUUAGUUUCAAAUUUAUCUCUUUAAUUUUUAUUUUUUCAAAUUUUAAUUUCUAAUUUGUUGUUGUUGGUGGGUGAAUACAAUUCAACAACUACAACAAAUGUUCUAAAAAUUCUCACCUAGUUGCUUGCCAGUUGGUCACCGUCCUAAUUAAUUCCUAAGCAUUUGAAUAGGAUGCCUAGAGAUGCCUUGGUUGUGAGUAAGAGACUUGUUGAAUACUUGGCUAAACACUCAUUAUAUUCUGGUUCCCCAUGUUUUUAAUAUGUUUUUAUAAUUUCUAAUAUAUAUGUCAUUGUUGUAAACUUUCCUAGUUUAAGUGUGAUUGUGUAAAUCCUAGAUUAGAUUUGAUUCUAGUUAUCCUUUCCUAUUACAACUUGUAUUCCUUGGGGAUGAAAGAAUUUCUUAUUUCCUUUUACUACUAUAAAUAAAGGCACUACAUAGGAAUGAUAACACACAUAUUCCCCUACAAUUCUACAAACACAUCUCUCUCACUCUCUCUUCUCCUUGCCUCCGGCCCCCUUAGCCUUGUCAGAUAAAAUAGGCUAUAACACGUUAUCAACAUGCUCUUACCAUUGUGCUUAGGAAUUUGACAAGGAAAUUUUCUGCAUCAAACCAGUUCAUCCAUAUCAUCACACAAUCAGGUUCUUUCAAAACAACAGUUUUUAUCUCGAUAUUUUUGCAGCCCUGAUAGCAUGAACAUUCACCAUAAUGCAUGACCCAACUUUAUGUUUUUCGAAUUUUAGAUUCUACAUAAAUUGCAUAUGCAUUAUAUUCAUAAUUGUUGAAUUAUGUGAAUUUAAUCGACCAACGGAGAGGGGGUGAUGUGCCUUAUAUGUACAUGCUCCCCUCCCUAUAGCACGAGGCAUUUUGGGAACUCACUGGCUUCAGAUUCCAUCGGAACUUUGAAGUUAAGCGAGUUCGGGUGAUAGCAGUCCUAGGAUGGGUGACCCACUGGGAAGUUCUCGUCUGAGUUCCCAGAAACAAAUCCAUGAGAGAAUGGUAAGCCCAAAGCGGACAAUAUCGUGCUACGGCAGAGUCGAGUGUGGAGUGUGACACGGGAACCCUAGGGGUUCUUCGAACUCAUGACCCCGAUACAACUGGGCUCACACAAGCCCACUAUAGGUUGCGAAGCACCAGAGCAAAACCCUUGCUCCAUUUGAGAAGAUGCCUCUGGUAUCGAACCUUAACCCACGGUGCCACCUGAAGUCGGCUAUGGCUUCACCAUCGUUGUUCUUGGGAAAUCACACAUGUAGUUAUGAUUGGGACGUCGCCAUCGUCAGAGACGAUGUGUUUUUUUCUCAAAAAUCCGAGGAACAUCGAAGAAACUCUUCGACGGAUUCCUUGAAUCCUCACCGUUGUCGGACCUCCCCGACAUCGAAACCUCAUUUUUCUUCCACGAUUUGGGUUCCUAGUUGAACCCCCAUGCUUCGUUGUACCGUGACCCUUGAGGAAAGUUGCUUGAAGCGACGUCGGUGUUCUCCCGACCAUAUUCUGACACCCAGCGUUGUUGAGGUGUCUCGAACCUUUUCGACCUGAGCCCAA
rnacentral:lncRNA from 1 species